CCCAGGUCUCGGCUGGGUCAGUAUGAGGCGGCGGAGAGCAGGGACACAUCGGUCUGUGAGGGAGUUGUUUCUCAG